rnacentral:rRNA from 1 species
AAGCAGUGCGGGAGCUAUAAUGCAGUCGACGCUUCUUUUCCCACCGGAGCUUGCUCCACCGGGAAAAGAGGAGUGGCGAACGGGUGAGUAACACGUGGGUAACCUGCCCAUCAGAAGGGGAUAACACUUGGAAACAGGUGCUAAUACCGUAUAACAAUCGAAACCGCAUGGUUUCGUUUUGAAAGGCGCUUUACGGUGCCGCUGAUGGAUGGACCCGCGGUGCAUUAGCUAGUUGGUGAGGUAACGGCUCACCAAGGCCACGAUGCAUAGCCGACCUGAGAGGGUGAUCGGCCACAUUGGGACUGAGACACGGCCCAAACUCCUACGGGAGGCAGCAGUAGGGAAUCUUCGGCAAUGGACGAAAGUCUGACCGAGCAACGCCGCGUGAGUGAAGAAGGUUUUCGGAUCGUAAAACUCUGUUGUUAGAGAAGAACAAGGGUGAGAGUAACUGUUCACCCCUUGACGGUAUCUAACCAGAAAGCCACGGCUAACUACGUGCCAGCAGCCGCGGUAAUACGUAGGUGGCAAGCGUUGUCCGGAUUUAUUGGGCGUAAAGCGAGCGCAGGCGGUUUCUUAAGUCUGAUGUGAAAGCCCCCGGCUCAACCGGGGAGGGUCAUUGGAAACUGGGAGACUUGAGUGCAGAAGAGGAGAGUGGAAUUCCAUGUGUAGCGGUGAAAUGCGUAGAUAUAUGGAGGAACACCAGUGGCGAAGGCGGCUCUCUGGUCUGUAACUGACGCUGAGGCUCGAAAGCGUGGGGAGCAAACAGGAUUAGAUACCCUGGUAGUCCACGCCGUAAACGAUGAGUGCUAAGUGUUGGAGGGUUUCCGCCCUUCAGUGCUGCAGCUAACGCAUUAAGCACUCCGCCUGGGGAGUACGACCGCAAGGUUGAAACUCAAAGGAAUUGACGGGGGCCCGCACAAGCGGUGGAGCAUGUGGUUUAAUUCGAAGCAACGCGAAGAACCUUACCAGGUCUUGACAUCCUUUGACCACUCUAGAGAUAGAGCUUUCCCCUUCGGGGGCAAGUGACAGGUGGUGCAUGGUUGUCGUCAGCUCGGGUUCGUGAGAUGUUGGGUUAAGUUCCCGCAACGAGCGCAAUCCUUAUUGGUUAGGUUGCCAUCAUUA